rnacentral:rRNA from 1 species
AUUGAACGCUAGCGGGAUGCCUUACACAUGCAAGUCGAACGGAGUGGCGAACGGGUGAGUAAUGUAUCGGAACGUGCCCCGUAGCGGGGGAUAACUACGCGAAAGCGUAGCUAAUACCGCAUACUAUUGGACCGGCCGAUAUCGGAUUAGCUAGUUGGUGGGGUAACGGCUCACAAAGGCGACGAUCCGUAGCUGGUUUGAGAGGACGACCAGCCAAACUGGGACUGAGACACGGCCCAGACUCCUAAGGGAGGAAGCAGUGGGGAAUUUUGGAAAAGGGGGGAAACCCUGAUCCAGCAAGCCCGCGUGGGCGGUGAAGGCCUUCGGGUUGUAAAGCACGUUUGGCAGGACGGCGGUACCUGCAGAAUAAGCACCGGCUAACUACGUGCCAGCAGCCGCGGUAAUUC